UUUGAUCCUGGCUMAGGAUGAACGCUAGCGGCAGGCCUAAUACAUGCAAGUCGAGGGGCAGCGGGAGUAGCAAUACUUGCCGGCGACCGGCGCACGGGUGCGUAACACGUAUACAAUCUACCUUUAACAGGGGGAUAGCCCGGAGAAAUCCGGAUUAAUACCCCAUAAUAUCAGAAUCGGCAUCGAUUUUGUUUGAAAACUACGGUGGUUAAAGAUGAGUAUGCGUCCGAUUAGUUAGUUGGUGAGGUAAUGGCUCACCAAGACCACGAUCAGUAGGGGGUCUGAGAGGAUUAACCCCCACACGGAUACUGAGACACGGAUCCGACUCCUACGGGAGGCAGCAGUAAGGAAUAUUGGACAAUGGGCGAAAGCCUGAUCCAGCCAUGCCGCGUGCAGGAAGAAGGCGCUAUGCGUCGUAAACUGCUUUUACACCGGAGAAAACCCCCUUUCGUGAAAGGGGCUGAUAGUAUGGUGAGAAUAAGCAUCGGCUAACUUCGUGCCAGCAGCCGCGGUAAGACGAAGGAUGCAAGCGUUAUCCGGAUUCAUUGGGUUUAAAGGGAGCGUAGGCGGUCUUAUAAGUCAGUGGUGAAAUCUCCUCGCUUAACGAGGAAACUGCCAUUGAUACUGUAGGACUUGAGUAUAGUUGCUGUGGGCGGAAUAUGACAUGUAGUGGUGAAAUACUUAGAGAUGUCAUAGAACACCGAUUGCGAAGGCAGCUCACAAAACUAUAACUGACGCUGAGGCUCGAAAGUGCGGGGAUCAAACAGGAUUAGAUACCCUGGUAGUCCGCACUGUAAACGAUGAUUACUCGCUGCUAGGGGGCAACUCUUAGUGGCUUAGCGAAAGCGAUAAGUAAUCCACCUGGGGAGUACGCCGGCAACGGUGAACUCAAGGAAUUGACGGGG
rnacentral:rRNA from 1 species